AUGACACCCAGUCAGAGACACAGACAGACAGACAGACAGACAGACAGACAGACAGACAGACAGACAGACAGACAGACAGACAGACAGACAGAGACAGACAGUCAGAGACACCCAGUCAGAGACACCCAGUCAGAGACAGACAGACAGACAGACACAGACAGACAGACAGAGACAGACACCCAGUCAAAGACACAGACAGUCACCCAGUCAGAGACGCCCAGUCAGACAGACAGACAGACAGACAGACAGACAGACAGACAGACAGACAGACAGACAGACAGACAGACAGACACCCAGUCAGAGACGCAGACAGAGACAGAGACAGAGAGACAGACACCCUGUCAGAGACACAGACAGACAACCAGUCAGAGACAGACACACACCCAGAGACAGACAGAGACAGGCAGAGAGAGACAGACAGACAGACAGACAGACAGACAGAGAGAGACAGACACACAGACAGACAGAGACAGACAGACACAGAGACAGAGACAGAGACAGAGACAGACACACAAACAGAGGCAGACAGGCAGAGACAGAGACAGACACACACCCAGUCAGAGACACAGACAGACACCCAGUCAGCGACACAGACAGACACCCAGUCAGAGACACAGACAGACACCCAGUCAGAGGCACAGACAGACACCCAGUCAGAGACAGACAGACACCCAAUCAGAGACACAGACAGAAAGACACCCAGUCAGACACCCAGUCAGAGACACAGACAGACACCAGGUCAGAGACACAGACAAACAGACACCCAGUCAGACACCCAGUCAGAGACAGACACCCAGUCAGAGACAGAGACAGACACCCAGUCAGAGACACAGACAGUCAAAGACACAGACAGACAGUCAGAGACACCCAGUCAGAGAAACCCAGUCAGACACACCCAGUCAGAAACACCCAGUCAGACAGACAGACAGACAGACAGACAGACAGACAGACAGACAGACAGCGACAGACACCCAGUCAGUCAGAGACAGAGACCCAGUCAGAGUCAGAGUCAGGGUCAGAGACAGAGACAGACACCCUGUCAGACACCCAGUCAGAGACAGACAGACAGACAGGACAGACAGACAGACAGACAGACAGACAGAGACAGCGACAGACACAGACAGACAGAGAGACAGAGACAGACAGACAGACUGA
rnacentral:lncRNA from 1 species